UACAGGGGGUGCAAACGUUGCUCGGAAUCACUGGGCGUAAAGCGCACGUAGGCGGAUUGUUAAGUCAGGGGUGAAAUCCUGGAGCUCAACUCCAGAACUGCCUUUGAUACUGGCGAUCUUGAGUCCGGGAGAGGUGAGUGGAACUGCGAGUGUAGAGGUGAAAUUCGUAGAUAUUCGCAAGAACACCAGUGGCGAAGGCGGCUCACUGGCCCGAUACUGACGCUGAGGCACGAAAGCGUGGGGAGCAAACAGGG
rnacentral:rRNA from 1 species